rnacentral:rRNA from 1 species
UGGGGCCGGCCUACCAUGCAGUCGAGCGGAACGAGUUAUCUGAACCUUCGGGGAACGAUAACGGCGUCGAGCGGCGGACGGGUGAGUAAUGCCUAGGAAAUUGCCUUGAUGUGGGGGAUAACCAUUGGAAACGAUGGCUAAUACCGCAUGAUGCCUACGGGCCAAAGAGGGGGACCUUCGGGCCUCUCGCGUCAAGAUAUGCCUAGGUGGGAUUAGCUAGUUGGUGAGGUAAUGGCUCACCAAGGCGACGAUCCCUAGCUGGUCUGAGAGGAUGAUCAGCCACACUGGAACUGAGACACGGUCCAGACUCCUACGGGAGGCAGCAGUGGGGAAUAUUGCACAAUGGGCGCAAGCCUGAUGCAGCCAUGCCGCGUGUAUGAAGAAGGCCUUCGGGUUGUAAAGUACUUUCAGCAGUGAGGAAGGGGGUGUCGUUAAUAGCGGCAUCUCUUGACGUUAGCUGCAGAAGAAGCACCGGCUAACUCCGUGCCAGCAGCCGCGGUAAUACGGAGGGUGCGAGCGUUAAUCGGAAUUACUGGGCGUAAAGCGCAUGCAGGUGGUUUGUUAAGUCAGAUGUGAAAGCCCGGGGCUCAACCUCGGAACUGCAUUUGAAACUGGCAAACUAGAGUACUGUAGAGGGGGGUAGAAUUUCAGGUGUAGCGGUGAAAUGCGUAGAGAUCUGAAGGAAUACCAGUGGCGAAGGCGGCCCCCUGGACAGAUACUGACACUCAGAUGCGAAAGCGUGGGAAGCAAACAGGAUUAGAUACCCUGGUAGUCCACGCCGUAAACGAUGUCUACUUGGAGGUUGUGGCCUUGAGCCGUGGCUUUCGGAGCUAACGCGUUAAGUAGACCGCCUGGGGAGUACGGUCGCAAGAUUAAAACUCAAAUGAAUUGACGGGGGCCCGCACAAGCGGUGGAGCAUGUGGUUUAAUUCGAUGCAACGCGAAGAACCUUACCUACUCUUGACAUCCAGAGAACUUAGCAGAGAUGCUUUGGUUGCCCUUCGGGAACUCUGAGAUAGGUGCUGCAUGGCUGUCGGUCAGCUCGUGUUGGUGAAAUGUGGGGUUAAUUCCCGCCAACGAAUCGCACCUUUAUUCCUUGUUUGCCAGCGAGUAUUGUCGGUGAACUCCAUGGGAGAACUGCCGGUCGAUUAACC